rnacentral:rRNA from 1 species
GAUGAACGCUGGCGGCGUGCCUAAUACAUGCAAGUCGAGCGAACGGACGAGAAGCUUGCUUCUCUGAUGUUAGCGGCGGACGGGUGAGUAACACGUGGAUAACCUACCUAUAAGACUGGGAUAACUUCGGGAAACCGGAGCUAAUACCGGAUAAUAUUUUGAACCGCAUGGUUCAAAAGUGAAAGACGGUCUUGCUGUCACUUAUAGAUGGAUCCGCGCUGCAUUAGCUAGUUGGUAAGGUAACGGCUUACCAAGGCAACGAUGCAUAGCCGACCUGAGAGGGUGAUCGGCCACACUGGAACUGAGACACGGUCCAGACUCCUACGGGAGGAAGCAGUAGGGAAUCUUCCGCAAUGGGCGAAAGCCUGACGGAGCAACGCCGCGUGAGUGAUGAAGGUCUUCGGAUCGUAAAACUCUGUUAUUAGGGAAGAACAUAUGUGUAAGUAACUGUGCACAUCUUGACGGUACCUAAUCAGAAAGCCACGGCUAACUACGUG